GGUUGUGGCUCAGUGGUAGAGCACUUGCUUAGCAUGUGUGAGGCACUGGGUUCAAUUCUCAGCACCA
rnacentral:tRNA from 1 species